UUGGAGGGCAAGUCUGGUGCCAGCAGCCGCGGUAAUUCCAGCUCCAAUAGCGUAUAUUAAAGUUGUUGCAGUUAAAAAGCUCGUAGUUGAACUUCGGGAUCAAUUGAUUGGUCAUGCCGUUGGUAUGUACUGGUCAUAUUGGUUCUCACCUUCUAAGGAACCAUAAUGUCAUUAAUUUGAUGUUUUGGGGAAUUAGGACUGUUACCUUGAAAAAAUUAGAGUGUUUAAAGCAGGCUAACGCUUGAAUACAUUAGCAUGGAAUAAUGAAAUAGGACAUCGCAUUCUAUUUUGUUGGUUUCUAGGAUCGAUGUAAUGAUUAAUAGGGAUAGUUGGG
rnacentral:sRNA from 1 species